rnacentral:rRNA from 1 species
GAUUCAUAAUAACUUCUCGAAUCGCAUGGCCUUGUGCUGGCGAUGCUUCAUUCAAAUAUCUGCCCUAUCAACUUUCGAUGGUAGGAUAGUGGCCUACCAUGGUUUUAACGGGUAACGGGGAAUAAGGGUUCGAUUCCGGAGAGGGAGCCUGAGAAACGGCUACCACAUCCAAGGAAGGCAGCAGGCGCGCAAAUUACCCAAUCCCGACACGGGGAGGUAGUGACAAUAAAUAACAAUAUAGGGCUCUUUUGGGUCUUAUAAUUGGAAUGAGUACAAUUUAAACCCCUUAACGAGGAACAAUUGGAGGGCAAGUCUGGUGCCAGCAGCCGCGGUAAUUCCAGCUCCAAUAGCGUAUAUUAAAGUUGUUGCAGUUAAAAAGCUCGUAGUUGAACUUCAGAUCUGGCUGGAUGGUCUGCCUAACGGUAUGUACUGUCUGGCUGGGUCUUACCUCUUGGUGAACUAGCAUGUCCUUCACUGGGUGUGUUGGGGAACCAGGACUUUUAC